rnacentral:rRNA from 1 species
UGGGGAAUUUUGGACAAUGGGCGCAAGCCUGAUCCAGCAAUGCCGCGUGAGUGAAGAAGGCCUUCGGGUUGUAAAGCUCUUUUGUCAGGGAAGAAACGGCUGUGGCUAAUAUCCACGGCUACUGACGGUACCUGAAGAAUAAGCACCGGCUAACUACGUGCCAGCAGCCGCGGUAAUACGUAGGGUGCAAGCGUUAAUCGGAAUUACUGGGCGUAAAGCGUGCGCAGGCGGUUUUGUAAGUCUGUCGUGAAAUCCCCGGGCUCAACCUGGGAAUUGCGAUGGAGACUGCAAGGCUAGAAUCUGGCAGAGGGGGGUAGAAUUCCACGUGUAGCAGUGAAAUGCGUAGAGAUGUGGAGGAACACCGAUGGCGAAGGCAGCCCCCUGGGUCAAGACUGACGCUCAGGUGCGAAAGCGUGGGGAGCAAACA